rnacentral:rRNA from 1 species
GUGGGGAAUAUUGCACAAUGGGCGAAAGCCUGAUGCAGCAACGCCGCGUGAGCGAUGAAGGCCUUUGGGUCGUAAAGCUCUGUCCUGGGGGAAGAAAAAAAUGACGGUACCCUAGGAGGAAGCCCCGGCUAACUACGUGCCAGCAGCCGCGGUAAUACGUAGGGGGCAAGCGUUAUCCGGAAUUAUUGGGCGUAAAGAGUGCGUAGGUGGUCUUGUAAGCGCGGGGUGAAAGGCUAUGGCUUAACCAUAGUAAGCCUUGCGAACUGUGAGACUUGAGUGCAGGAGAGGAAGGCGGAAUUCCUAGUGUAGCGGUGAAAUGCGUAGAUAUUAGGAGGAACACCAGUGGCGAAGGCGGCUCACUGGCUCGAUACUGACGCUGAGGUGCGAAAGCGUGGGGAGCAAACAGGAUUAGAUACCCUAGUAGUCC